rnacentral:rRNA from 1 species
UUAGUGGCGACGGGUGAGUAACACGUGGGCAAUCUGCCCUUCACUCUGGGACAAGCCCUGGAAACGGGGUCUAAUACCGGAUAACACUUCCACUCUCCUGGGUGGAGGUUAAAAGCUCCGGCGGUGAAGGAUGAGCCCGCGGCCUAUCAGCUUGUUGGUGAGGUAAUGGCUCACCAAGGCGACGACGGGUAGCCGGCCUGAGAGGGCGACCGGCCACACUGGGACUGAGACACGGCCCAGACUCCUACGGGAGGCAGCAGUGGGGAAUAUUGCACAAUGGGCGAAAGCCUGAUGCAGCGACGCCGCGUGAGGGAUGACGGCCUUCGGGUUGUAAACCUCUUUCAGCAGGGAAGAAGCGAAAGUGACGGUACCUGCAGAAGAAGCGCCGGCUAACUACGUGCCAGCAGCCGCGGUAAUACGUAGGGCGCAAGCGUUGUCCGGAAUUAUUGGGCGUAAAGAGCUCGUAGGCGGCUUGUCGCGUCGGUUGUGAAAGCCCGGGGCUUAACCCCGGGUCUGCAGUCGAUACGGGCAGGCUAGAGUGUGGUAGGGGAGAUCGGAAUUCCUGGUGUAGCGGUGAAAUGCGCAGAUAUCAGGAGGAACACCGGUGGCGAAGGCGGAUCUCUGGGCCAUUACUGACGCUGAGGAGCGAAAGCGUGGGGAGCGAACAGGAUUAGAUACCCUGGUAGUCCACGCCGUAAACGGUGGGAACUACGUGUUGGCGACAUUCCACGUCGUCGGUGCCGCAGCUAACGCAUUAAGUUUCCCCGCCUGGGGAGUACGGCCGCAAGGCUAAAACUCAAAAGGAAUUGACGG